UGUGUGAAGAAGGCCUUCGGGUUGUAAAGCACUUUUAUCAGGAGCGAAACGCUGUCGGCUAAUACCCGGCGGAACUGACGGUACCUGAGGAAUAAGCACCGGCUAACUUCGUGCCAGCAGCCGCGGUAAUACGAAGGGUGCAAGCGUUAAUCGGAAUUACUGGGCGUAAAGCGUGCGUAGGCGGUUUGUUAAGUCUGUUGUGAAAUCCCCGGGCUCAACCUGGGAAUGGCAAUGGAUACUGGCAAGCUAGAGUGUGAUAGAGGAUGGUGGAAUUCCCGGUGUAGCGGUGAAAUGCGUAGAGAUCGGGAGGAACAUCAGUGGCGAAGGCGGCCAUCUGGAUCAACACUGACGCUGAGGCACGAAAGCGUGGGGAGCAAACAGGAUUAGAUACCCUGGUAGUCCACGCCCUAAACGA
rnacentral:rRNA from 1 species